rnacentral:tRNA from 1 species
UGGGGUAUAGCCAAGUCGGUAAGGCAGUGCACUUUGGAUGCACCACGCGUAGGUUCAAUUCCUACUACCCCAG